rnacentral:rRNA from 1 species
GACGAACGCUGGCGGCGUGCUUAACACAUGCAAGUCGAACGGAAAGACCCUGCUUUUGUUGCGUUCUCGAUUGGCGAACGGGUGAGUAACACGUGAGUAACCUCCCCUUGUCUGUCGGAUAUCUCCUGGGAACUGGGGCUAAUACCGCAUAUGAGCUCCUGAUGCAUGUUGGGGGUUAGAAAGUUUCGGCGGUUGGGGAUGGAUUCGCUGCUUACCAGCUUGUUUGGCGGGUAGGUGCAUACCAAGGCUUCGACGGAUAGCCGGCAUGAGAGCUUGAACGGCGACAUGGGGACUGAGAUACGGCCCAGUAUCGUACGGGAGGCAGUAGGGGGAAAUAUUGCACAAUAGGCGGAAGCCAGAGGCAGCAACGCUGGGUGCGGGAUGACGGCCUUCGGGGUGUAAACCGCUUUCGACGGUGACGAAGCGGGAGUGGCGGUAACGGGUAAAGAAGCAACGGCUAACUACGUG